GACGAACCGUGCGAACGUUGUUCGGAAUCACUGGGCUUAAAGGGCGCGUAGGCGGAUCAUCAAGUCAGGGGUGAAAUCCCACGGCUCAACCGUGGAAGUGCCUUUGAUACUGGUGGUCUGGAGUGGGGUAGGGGCAUGCGGAACUGGUGGUGGAGCGGUGAAAUGCGUAGAUAUCACUAGGAACGCCGGUGGCGAAAGCGGCGUGCUGGACCCCAACUGACGCUGAGGCGCGAAAGCCAGGGGAGCGAACGGG
rnacentral:rRNA from 1 species